UACCUUAUUCUAUUUUUCCCAGAUGUACGCACCGACGCCAUCUGAUUGCCGUCGUCGUUGCCCUCAUCCGUAGCCACCACCGCCAUACCGAGACUGAUUCGCAGGGCGGGGCCGGGACCGAGUGAACGUUAGGUGUAGCUAAUUUUGAUUUAGCCUCUUCGUCUUAUGUCUAUUGCAUUUAGAUGUAAAUUUUGGACUUCGUAAAUAAUUAUUUGUUUAUCUGCUUCUAUUUUGUUUUUUUUUCA